AUUGAUCUACCUGGAAGGGGUGGAUCACUUGGUCUGCGUGGGUUCGGUGAAAAACGUCAGUCUAAUGGG
rnacentral:rRNA from 1 species